AAAAAUCUGAAUCUGCUUGUGUGUUUAUUCUAUCAGACUAGAAAGGCAAGAACUUGGCUUUGAAAAGGAAAGGAGAAUCUUCCCACCACACUUAACUACUGUACAGAUUCUGAGGAAUCCGAAGCUGGAAAGCUUCCGUGGUUUGGGGAGACUUAAAGGGAAGAAAAGAGAUCUUAAACAUUCAAGAGUAUCUUUUUGAGUGCACGUCUUAAUUCUGAGAGAACAAGCUUGCUGUAUCAAAACAACAUUAUAUAAAACAGAAAAGAAUCUCACCUUUUGGCACUGCUGUUUCUAUAUAUAGAGUACAGAUCUAGAGAUAUAGGAGGAAUUACUUUACUGGAACCUGUAAUGCCAUGGAAGGACUGCAAUUUUACCAGCCACCCUAUCCUAACCGACCUGCAUCUAAGUUCCUGCUGUAGUUCUCACUGCAUGUGCUGAUAUUAACAUUUAGAAGUCAGUACAGACAAACCAUAUCAGGAUUCUUGCCAGCAGUUACAGCUGACACAGGCAACUCUGUUUUCAUUUAAAGAUGGUAAUACCAGCGGAAUCUCUGAAAAUCGAUUACUUUUUUCCAGGAAGCCUAAUGUUGA
rnacentral:misc_RNA from 1 species